UCCUCGUUAGCUCAGCUGGUAGAGCGCUCCACAGGAAAUGGAGAGGUGCCUGGUUCGAUAUCAGGGCCAGGUG
rnacentral:tRNA from 1 species